rnacentral:rRNA from 1 species
UGGGGAAUAUUGCACAAUGGGCGCAAGCCUGAUGCAGCCAUGCCGCGUGUAUGAAGAAGGCCUUCGGGUUGUAAAGUACUUUCAGUCGGGAGGAAGGUGUCAAGGUUAAUAACCUUGGCAAUUGACGUUACCGACAGAAGAAGCACCGGCUAACUCCGUGCCAGCAGCCGCGGUAAUACGGAGGGUGCAAGCGUUAAUCGGAAUUACUGGGCGUAAAGCGCAUGCAGGCGGUUGAUUGAGUCAGAUGUGAAAUCCCCGGGCUUAACCCGGGAAUUGCAUCUGAUACUGGUCAGCUAGAGUCUUGUAGAGGGGGGUAGAAUUCCAUGUGUAGCGGUGAAAUGCGUAGAGAUGUGGAGGAAUACCGGUGGCGAAGGCGGCCCCCUGGACAAAGACUGACGCUCAGGUGCGAAAGCGUGGGGAGCAAACAGG